GUGAAUCAUCGAAUCUUUGAACGCACCUUGCGCUCCUUGGUAUUCCGAGGAGCAUGCCUGUUUGAGUGUCAUGAAAACCCUCAACCCUAGAUUGGUUAAAACCUUUCUUUGGUUUGGAUUUGGACGUUUGCCGAUGAUAAGUCGGCUCGUCUUAAAAGUAAUAGCUGGAUCUGUCUCGCGACAUGGUUUGACUUGGCGUAAUAAGUAUUUUGCUGAGGACAUCUUCGGAUGGCCAGGACCUAGACUAUUGUCUGCUAACUAAACCAUCACUUUAAGUGCAUCUUCGGAUGUUACUCAUUGUGUAACUUUGACAUCUGGCCUCAAAUCAGGUAGGACUACCCGCUGAACUUAA
rnacentral:rRNA from 1 species